GGAGGUUGGCGUUCCAAGGCUGGGGGGCAGGCUUCACGGGGCUUUGCUGUGGAUUCACAUGGCAGGGUGGGGGGUGGCAGAGACACGGCCUCUGUGAGCACAGCCUCACACCACCUGCGUGCUCUGCCUCCCUUCCCCCCUUCCUCCCUCUUCAGGGGCCUCGGGUGGUUUUGAGAGGAGGGGACAGGAAGAGACUGUGAACUCUGGGUCAGCCGAGGACAGAGAUAGGGGAGAGCUCUUCCCCGAAAUCCUAUUUCUUCAAGGACCCUACCCCCCUGCCACUUAGAACUAAGUCUUGCUAGCUCCAUCUGCCACUCGCAGCGAUGUCCCUGGUGCUAAGACCUCCAGCGGCCGGAAACCCAGAGCCCGGGAGGUUCCGGGCCACACCUGCUGGACGAGCCCAGGCCAGCGUCCCUCCCAGGUGGGGGACCGGACACGCGCUCCAGGAGCAGAGGGCAGCGAGACCCGGCCACGUGGAGGUCCCGCCCGCCCGCCCGCGGGAACCCCGAGUGUCGGCCGUCGCCGACCGCAGGCUGCAGAGGCGGUUGGGCUGCUCCAUCUGCCACCCGGGUCCCUGCCAGCAGUGCGGGCCUCCGGGCCUCGCCAGCCCUCCAGCUCCAGUUCACAGAGCGCCCUUGAAACCGGGCCAGCCCCGUGGACUCUGCUGACAUCCCCAGGCCCAGCACAAUCAGUCCGUACCUUUCCCAAGCACAAUGUGUGCCCUGUCUCCUAUGCAAGCGAUCUGUUUACUAAUCUUGUCCUAACCAGAUUAGAAAGUCCUUGAGGCAGAAACAAAGUCUGCUUCUUCUUCGAAGCCUCCUCCCUGCCCCCCACCCCCAGUUCAUCUCUUCCAGCCCAAGCCUGGCAUCCGAGUUGAUGUUCAAUAAAUAUGGGUGUAUUGAAAUGAUUUCCUGCCCUCAGGUAGUUGUUGGGCCAGUUGCAGAGACAAACACAGGGUGUGUGGGGUUAAAUAAUAACCAAGGCCAGCAGGUGGUAUGUACCAAAUGUGGGUGACAGCCAUCGGACUCAGGGGGAAGGAGGUGGCGAUGGGGGAGAGAGAUCCCAGGAGGUUCCAGGCCACUCCAUGACUGAGUAGGAGAGGAGCUAGGGAUUUAGCUCAGUGGCAUAAGCGCCUGCCUUGCAAGCAGGCAGUCAUGAGUUCGAUCCUCGGUACCAAUAAAAAAGAAAAAGACAAAAAAAAAAAAAAAAAAACAUGACUGAGUAGGCGGACUGGGGAGGGGCAGGGUGGGGGUGACUCACUGGGGUUGACAUCACCAUAAAACAGCCUUCAUGCUGGGCACUUUACAUGCAUUAUCUGGUAUUUUAAGGCUGGAGAAGGUUGAGAAGAAGGCAGGAACGUUGCCCAACCCUGGACCACCCUGUGCCAACCAAAGCCCAGGGGCAGCCUCAAAUGUGGUCUCUCCACCUUCCACUGCCUGUUCUCUGGCCUGCCGCUCCUAUCUACUACACCCAAGGGCACCCAGCUCAGCCCAGUGUUGGAUGCACCUUGGUCCCAGCCUGGUGGACUACUGGAGGUACUUCCUUACCCUCCCUGGUACAGGCUGUGGCUCUGGGUACCCGAGUGGUGAUGCUGGCUACCUCCCCUGAUGGCACUCGGGCUGGUGUGGCUGCCCGUGCACCCCUCCGCCUCCCAGGCAGGCAUCCUUGGUGCCCUCCC
rnacentral:lncRNA from 1 species